UACGUAGGUGGCAAGCGUUGUCCGGAUUUACUGGGUGUAAAGGGCGUGUAGCCGGGUUGACAAGUCAGAUGUGAAAUCCUGCGGCUUAACCGCAGAACUGCAUUUGAAACUGUUGAUCUUGAGUACUGGAGAGGCAGACGGAAUUCCUAGUGUAGCGGUGAAAUGCAUAGAUAUUAGGAGGAACACCAGUGGCGAAGGCGGUCUGCUGGACAGCAACUGACGGUGAGGCGCGAAAGCGUGGGGAGCAAACAGG
rnacentral:rRNA from 1 species